rnacentral:sRNA from 1 species
UUCAGCGGAUGGUCCACACCCUGAUCC